GAUGAACGCUGGCGGCGUGCCUAAUACAUGCAAGUCGAGCGAACGGACGAGAAGCUUGCUUCUCUGAUGUUAGCGGCGGACGGGUGAGUAACACGUGGAUAACCUACCUAUAAGACUGGGAUAACUUCGGGAAACCGGAGCUAAUACCGGAUAAUUUUUGAACCGCAUGGUUCAAAAGUGAAAGACGGUCUUGCUGUCACUUAUAGAUGGAUCCGCGCUGCAUUAGCUAGUUGGUAAGGUAACGGCUUACCAAGGCAACGAUGCAUAGCCGACCUGAGAGGGUGAUCGGCCACACUGGAACUGAGACACGGUCCAGACUCCUACGGGAGGCAGCAGUAGGGAAUCUUCCGCAAUGGGCGAAAGCCUGACGGAGCAACGCCGCGUGAGUGAUGAAGGUCUUCGGAUCGUAAAACUCUGUUAUUAGGGAAGAACAUAUGUGUAAGUAACUGUACACAUCUUGACGGUACCUAAUCAGAAAGCCACGGCUAACUACGUG
rnacentral:rRNA from 1 species